rnacentral:lncRNA from 1 species
AUGUAAAUGGGCAGGAUCAAUUCCUGCCAACGAAAACCCUGCUUCAUGGAAGAAGGCCAUGCUCCAUGGCAUAGAUAUGAACUUAUUAUGAUAUUUCUGAAGAAGAAGAGACUAUAAGGAAGAGCUCUCCUAACUUAGCAACCAUUCUCCAUUUUCCAAAAGGGUAAACCAAGGCACGGAAAGAUAGGCACAAGGUAACUUAUGCAGGCAGAAGGUAACAAACACUCGUGCACACACACUGAAAAUCAGAAAGAGAGAGAGAGAGUUGCCAUAAUUAGUACCUUUGUUUAGAGAAGAAAGGCUGAGGCCUGGAGAAGUUAAGUGACAUGCUUAAAUCCACACAGCUAGUCGGAGGCAAAGCCAAGAUUUGAACAUGGGUAGUCUGAAUCCAAGAUCUUGGCCUUCACCCCUCUAUAAAAUGACACUCUCAUCCCUGAAGAAAGAAAAAGUCAACCGAAAGCAUUGUGAAAAGAGUCCUUUAAUAAAAUGGCUAAUUCUGGCAAUGGG